AACGAACGCUGGCGGCAGGCCUAACACAUGCAAGUCGAGCGAGGACUUCGGUCCUAGCGGCGGACGGGUGAGUAACGCGUGGGAACGUGCCCUUUGGUACGGAAUAGCCCCGGGAAACUGGGAGUAAUACCGUAUGGUGUCUUCGGACUAAAGAUUUAUCGCCAAAGGAUCGGCCCGCGUUGGAUUAGGUAGUUGGUGGGGUAAUGGCCUACCAAGCCGACGAUCCAUAGCUGGUUUGAGAGGAUGAUCAGCCACACUGGGACUGAGACACGGCCCAGACUCCUACGGGAGGCAGCAGUGGGGAAUCUUAGACAAUGGGGGCGAACCCUGAUCUAGCCAUGCCGCGUGAGUGAUGAAGGCCCUAGGGUUGUAAAGCUCUUUCAGCUGGGAAGAUAAUGACGGUACCAGCAGAAGAAGCCCCGGCUAACUCCGUG
rnacentral:rRNA from 1 species